AGCUGUGAAGGGCAAUCUGGCUGCGACAUCUGCACCCCAUUGAUCGCCAGGGUUGAUUUGGCUGAUCUGGCUGGCUAGGCGGGUGUCCCCCUCCUCCCUCACCGAUCCAUGUGCGUCCCUCCCGAAGCUGCGCUCUGGGUCGAAGAGCAUGACCUUCCCCCAGAGGAGAGGACCGGUCUUAGAUCAAGGUUAGUAGCUGUGCUCCCCUGCUAGAACCUCCAAACAAGCUCUCAAGGUCCAUUUGUAGGAGAGUGUAGGGUAGUCAAGUUUCCAAAACUCCAGACACAUCCAAAUGAGGCACUACAUGUGGCAGUCUGUCUUUCUAG
rnacentral:snRNA from 1 species